ensembl:lncRNA LINC01913 long intergenic non-protein coding RNA 1913
GGGCAACGUGGAGAGAUGUAGGAAGUGAACCUGAAGCCUGACACACUCAAGGUCUCGGAACCGAAAAUAAUAGGAAUUGUUCUUAUUUUUCCAGUGGAAUCAAGCACAGAGAUGGGCACGCCUCUUUACAGAACCAAAGAUUCAGAACUGUGCCUUACCCUUUGCUUAUGAGGCGGAGGAGGAGGAAGAGAAAGAACCACCGCAAAGAGAGAUGGCAACAAAGCCUGUACUCACCACAGCCCUCCCCGAGAGUGGAGACACAGCCAACAAGGAUCAUGGGCCCAAGGGCCUCCAAGAGCUGCUCCUUUCAGACCACCCCCACCAUGGGCCCACCCUGCAGCCACAGGUCCUGGGAAGCCCAUGGUCAUGGAGCCCCCACAGCUGAGUUACUGUGGCUCAUGACCCAAUUGGAGCUCUUCCCUCCCUGCUCUUGGAUAUUCCCCAUGACCAGAAAGUCAUUAAAAUCCCACAGUCUCCUCUGAGCUGAUUCUCACCAUUUUUCUCUUCCUCUUCAUUCUCAGUGCCUCACUCUUACACACUAGACCCCUGGACUAUCAUUUGGACCAUGGAGCCAGCCCCCCAGCCAGCUUCCCUGCCACCAACUUCCCCUCCAAGACACUUAAAGGCCAGCUUUGGAAAUAUUUUUUUAAAUUGAAUGUCAUUUUUAUCAAGUCCUUCCCCUACUCAAGAGCCUUUAGUAGUUCCCUAUUUCUUCUUGUUAUAGCAGACAUAAAUAACUCACCAGAUUUUGAGAAUACUCUCACCACUCCCCCAACCCCUCUUCUGCCUAUGUCCAGAUCUACACUCAAAAACAGCCUUCCCUAGUUAAUCUCCUCCCCUCUCUGUCCACCCCUUUACCCAUCCCCAUGGUUUAUUGGAUACUGUUUUGGGUGUCUUGAGAUAUUAGGUUAGGGUUCUUUGACAGCAAGCAACAGAAACCAACUCUGACUAGUUUAAGGAACAGAAAGGGAUAGAUUGGAAACGAAUGGCAUAGUUUGGAGAUUAAAAGCAAGCCUGAACUACAGUCCUGGGAAAGAUAGAACUGGGCAGCUCUGAAGAUCUUUCUGGAACAUUGCCAUCAGAUGAUCAGCUCCAACUGCCUUCUCUCCUUAUUUCUCUCUGCUUAAGAUUCAGAGUUGCAGGACUGAACAUCAACAAGCUCCGUGAUCAGGGAGCAGAGUCCUGUGAUUGGUUGCCCUACCAAAACCACUCAGGGUGGGGGAAGGUUGCAACAUUUAGCAAAUAAAAAUACAGGAUGCCCAGCUAAGUUGAAUUCCAGAUAAACAAUGUUUAAUUGCCCAUAUAAACACAUCCCAGGCAGUAGUUCCUGAUUUGUCUUCUCAUUCUUCCCUUCCCUCAGUCCCACUCUGUUGCUCCCAGGUGGGUCAGCACACCCUCAGACCUGUACCUCUACCCACUCUGACUGUACCUCACUGUUAAUGAAUCUGUUCAGUCCUUUCAAGGUGGCUGUGAAUUUUAUUUCUUCCUCUUUAAUUUUAAUAACCGAGCUUCCAUUGACUGGAAACUACACAUUAACUGACACAAAUAAAAGGGUGCACAUGCCCUUUGGCAACCUUU